rnacentral:rRNA from 1 species
AUUGAACGCUGGCGGCAUGCUUUACACAUGCAAGUCGAACGGUAACAGGCCGCAAGGUGCUGACGAGUGGCGAACGGGUGAGUAAUGCAUCGGAACGUGCCCAGUCGUGGGGGAUAACGCAGCGAAAGCUGUUCUCAUACCGCAUACGAUCUAUGGAUGAAAGCGGGGGACCGUCAGGCCUCGCGCGAUUGGAUCGGCCGAUAUCAGAUUAGGUAGUUGGUGAGGUAAAGGCUCACCAAGCCGACGAUCUGUAGCGGGUCUGCGAGGACGACCAGCCACACUGGGACUGAGACACGGCCCAGACUCCUACGGGAGGCAGCAGUGGGGAAUUUUGGACAAUGGGCGCAAGCCUGAUCCAGCAAUGCCGCGUGCAGGACGAAGGCCUUCGGGUUGUAAACUGCUUUUGUACGGAGCGAAACGGCUCUCUCUAAUAAAGGGAGCUAAUGACGGUACCGUAAGAAUAAGCACCGGCUAACUACGUGCCAGCCGCCGCGGUAA